rnacentral:rRNA from 1 species
ACACAUGCAGUCGAGCGGUAGAGAGAAGCUUGCUUCUCUUGAGAGCGGCGGACGGGUGAGUAAUGCCUAGGAAUCUGCCUGGUAGUGGGGGAUAACGUUCGGAAACGGACGCUAAUACCGCAUACGUCCUACGGGAGAAAGCAGGGGACCUUCGGGCCUUGCGCUAUCAGAUGAGCCUAGGUCGGAUUAGCUAGUUGGUGGGGUAAUGGCUCACCAAGGCGACGAUCCGUAACUGGUCUGAGAGGAUGAUCAGUCACACUGGAACUGAGACACGGUCCAGACUCCUACGGGAGGCAGCAGUGGGGAAUAUUGGACAAUGGGCGAAAGCCUGAUCCAGCCAUGCCGCGUGUGUGAAGAAGGUCUUCGGAUUGUAAAGCACUUUAAGUUGGGAGGAAGGGCAUUAACCUAAUACGUUAGUGUUUUGACGUUACCGACAGAAUAAGCACCGGCUAACUCUGUGCCAGCAGCCGCGGUAAUACAGAGGGUGCAAGCGUUAAUCGGAAUUACUGGGCGUAAAGCGCGCGUAGGUGGUUUGUUAAGUUGGAUGUGAAAUCCCCGGGCUCAACCUGGGAACUGCAUUCAAAACUGACUGACUAGAGUAUGGUAGAGGGUGGUGGAAUUUCCUGUGUAGCGGUGAAAUGCGUA